rnacentral:rRNA from 1 species
AAAACUCACCAGGUCAGGACACGGUAAGGAUUGACGGACUGAAGGCUCUUUCUCGAUUCCGUGGAAAGUGGUGCAUGGCCGUUUUGGUUGUGGAUCGAUCCGUCUGGUUAAUUCCGUUAACGAACGAGACCUCGGCACUCCGAAUAGCGCGGCGGACGUCGCGGCCUCCGGGCCGUCUUCCGCACGAGCUUCUUAGAGGGACCGUCCCCCGCCGGGGAAGGAGGUGCGAGGCAACGACAGGUCUGUGAUGCCCUUAGAUGUUCUGGGCCGCACGCGCAUUACACUGACGCGUCCAACGGGUGACUCCCGACCCGAAGGGGCCGGGGAAUCCGCAAGGCGCGUCGUGAUGGGGAUUGAACGUUGCAAUUGUUGUUCACGAACGAGGAAUUCCUAGUAGGCGCGGGUCAUCAACCCGCGCCGAUUACGUCCCUGCCC